UGUUUUGUUUUUGAAUGCAUGCAAGCAUGAUUCCGCCCUUUAAUUGUUAAUUGCAUGCUAUAGAUGUUAUUCAAAUGAACAUGUUUUCACAAAAUAAUCCUUCACCAUCUUGGCUACAGUUGAUGAAGAAGGCCUUGACUUGUCUAGACUUGUCUAUAGUAGAGAUGAUAUGGUAGUGUUAACUGUUUAGAAUAUAAUGAUGCUUAAAACCCAAAAGGUUGCAAGGUAGUGACUAAUCCCAACUAAGUUGUGAUACCUCUAAAACAUAAGUUAUGAGUUGGUGAAAAAUGGAUGCUUUGGAUUGUUAGAUCCGGAUCCAAUACCUUCUCAUUAAAAUUGUAUAGAGGCGAAAUGUUCGAAUCUUUAUUCUUUUGGAAAGAAGAAAGAAUCACAAAGUUGUUGAGGUUAAUUCACUUAGAUAUUGGUGGCACUUGACCACAACAUAAUACUACUCAUGUUGGAUGACAUUCACCGAAGAUCGCUCCCAGUUGGACUAUAGUUUAUUUUGAAUAAACACAAGUCCGAAUACUUUGCAAAAGGUUUCAAAGAAU
rnacentral:lncRNA from 1 species